GGGUGAGUGGCGGAACUGGCAGACGCACAGGACUUAAAAUCCUGAGAUUCGCAAGAAUCGUGAGGGUUCGAGUCCCUCUUCGCCCA
rnacentral:tRNA from 1 species